rnacentral:ncRNA from 1 species
CGGACCAUCAGAGUCCGUUGGGAUGUGGCCCAGUACGGGCUGAACCGCAAA